UUUCCGUAGGUGAACCUGCGGAAGGACCAUUGUCGAAACCUGCCCAGCAGAACGACCCGCGAACUUGUAUAAACAACUGGGGGCGGGGGGCGUUCUCUCCCCGUGCCCCCGACCGGGGGGGAAACACUCGUGCCUUCUUGCCGAACAACGAACCCCGGCGCGGUCUGCGCCAAGGAACUUCAACUAAAGAGUGCCACCGGGCUCCCCGGAAACGGCGUGAGUGCCGGAGGAGAACCUUGUGCAAAACCAUAACGACUCUCGGCCACGGAUAUGUGGGCUCUCGCAUCGAUGAGGAACGCAGC
rnacentral:misc_RNA from 1 species